GGCUCGGUGGUCUAGAAAUAUGAUUCCCGCUUCGGGUGCGAGAGGUCCCGCGUUCAAUUCUCGGUCGAGCCC